CUAUAUUGUAUGUGUAUAUCCUGAGUGAAUCUGUAUGUUGGUAUACAUCUGUUAGCAGCAGUGACAGUAUUCAGCACAUUGUGUUCAUCAUUCUCCGGCCUCAAAAACUCUCGCACCGACACAACCAACGACAAAGUUUGCGUUAAAACUGUUAUUUUGUGACGUCCGUUUGUGUUCUUUGACGCAGCUGUCUGCCAGAAAAUACCAGAGUGCAAUGUGCUGAGUACCAUGGUUUGUGUGUGUGUGUGUGUGUGUGUGUGUAUUACACUGUGGAACCUUGAAAGCUGUUGUGAAAAUAUGAACUAAUAAAAAUUAAACCAGAAGAAAAUA